UUGUGGAGUGUCAGCCUGUGGUGUCCAGUGUGUGUGUCCAGGAGAGAUGACCUGCGCUGUUUUCCUCUGAGGAGAUAUCUGAAACAUUUCAUUGGAUCACAAGCAAAGACCUCCUGGGGACCUUCAAUGCAUCUCUUGACAAAUUUGUGCCUGGCCUGCUGAAACUGUACCGGUCUAAGAAGGGAGCUCUUUGUGAGGAGAUGGAAGACCUCCUGGAUAAACUUGACGAACAGGCAUCCGACAUUGUGUCCAACGGGCACUGAGACGCCAGCCCAUUUUCCUCAAGGGACGAUGCAACAGAGGUUUUCCUGAAGUGCUUAGACACUGACAUUUUGGAACCAGUGUUGAACGGUGCAUCAGUUGCCAUCCUCACCAUCCUACAAGAUGACGAUGCCGAUACGUCUGUGCGAGAACAUGCAGUUGUGUUGGAAGGGGACAUCGUGCUACAUAACAUUCCAGAUCUCUCUACUGCCUUGGCAUACCUCUUUGGCCUUCUGUAUGCCCUCAACAUUGAUUAUCCAAAGCAGAUGAGUUAUACCUUUAAAGCAAUUGAGGCCAGUCUUAUUUUGACCUGGUCGGACUUUAUGAAGGUGAAGUGGAUAAAUCAUUAUUCGAAAUGUAAAUUUUAGUCAGAUGAAUCUGUAUUGUUGAGAAUAUAUGGUGAAAAUUUGUCUUGUAGUAUUUUAAAAGAUUUGUUAUAGUGUUUUCCAUAUGAAGCAUAGAACUGGUGUUUUACCUGUUAGUUUCCUCUUCAUUGAUGGUAACAUUUCUAAUAACUUUUAACUUCCAUAGUUCAUCAUAGUAAGCCCAUGUAAAAUGUCAAUGUCUGGGUACAUAGGCAUCGUUUGUGGCACUACCCUAUUUAAUGUGCAAUAGUUAUGUUCAGCUUUUACAAGACGGUCAGGGUGUGUGCGUGAAUUAUUAAGUUGCUGGACACUUUUCUUUUUUGG